UACGGAAGGGGCAAGCGUUGUUCGGAAUCAUUGGGCGUAAAGGGCGCGUAGGUGGUUCUGUAUGUCUACCGUGAAAGCAUACAGCUCAACUGUAUUUUGUCGGUAGAAACUGCAAGACUUGAGGCUGGGAGGGGCUGGUGGAAUUCCCUGUGUAGCGGUGAAAUGCGUAGAGAUGGGGGAGAACACUCGUGGCGAAGGCGGCCAGCUAGACCAGUUCUGACACUGAGGCGCGACAGCGUGGGGAGCAAACAGG
rnacentral:rRNA from 1 species